rnacentral:misc_RNA from 1 species
GGAACAAACAUACGAGUUGGAGGAAUGGCCAAAGGUUCUGGGAUGAUCCACCCUAAUAUGGCCACCAUGCUUGGUGUAAUAACCACUGAUGCACUUGUCAAAAGUGAUGUUUGGAGGAAGAUGGUACAAAUUGCUGUUAAUCGGAGUUUCAACCAAAUAACAGUAGAUGGAGAUACUAGCACCAACGAUACAGUCAUUGCUUUGGCUAGUGGUUUAUCUGGAUCAACC